UGAAAAUAACCUGAUGUUUCAGAAAAGUCAGUCAUUCAACACUUAUGUUUCUGUUGUUUGAGUCAGUUACUUAUGUGAUUCAGGUAUCAAUGAGGCUCUUCCCUAACUAUUGAGAUUUAACUUUGCCUUGAUGACAUCUAAUCCGAUGGCCCAUGGAAGUCCGCAUUUCCUGAUAGUGUUGGGGUGAUGCAUGUAGGAAUUAUAUUCUUCUGGUCUCUUCUGUCUCCUAGACCUGAUUUCCACAUUCAUCUGCCCAUCAUUCAGCAGAAGGGUCAGUGGCUGUCUUGGGUUCGCACCACAAAGGAGCUUGCACACUAAACAUUCAUUGCAGAGGACUUCAGUGAAGAUGGGAGCAGAGGGUCUUCCUGGAGAACAGUUACAACAGAACAUCAAGACUCUGCUUACCCAAGAAUUCCUGGGAAGAAGAACAAGCCAGAGAAGACUGGGAGGCAUUUCAAAAGCAGACUCAGGUUUGGUUCUCUCCUUUUGUUUAUGCAUUUUGCUUUAUAAAAAUUAAAAAGAUAAAGAGAAGGCAGCCCCUGUGUUCCACUAAAACUGGCUGUUAGGGGACUCUGGAGGCAGAUUAGCAAUUGUGUGUUAUGAUGAUAGCAUCUAGUUAAGCCAGCAAAAUGGCUCUUCCGACACCAUCCGUGGAACUGGUGGGUGGGAACUUGUACAACUUCUGAGAAAGCCAAGAAUUUGUUCUGAACAGCAGAGAUAAGCUCCUUACUCAGGAGUUUCUGCCUGAAGAGAGCACACCAGGCACCACAAAAAUGAGUGUCUGGAUCAGGGAAAGAUGGAGCGGGGACCCCUGGAAAGAGCCUAUGGUUUGGGAGCAGAAAAUCGACAUUUGCGAGAAGUCCUUCCAGACACUUUCAAGCUGGUGACCUUGUGAAGGUCACUCUAACCCUCAGUCCCUGCAUCUGUACAAUAAAGAUAGUACCACACCUACCCCA
rnacentral:lncRNA from 1 species